ACGGGAGGCAGCAGUGGGGAAUAUUGGACAAUGGGGGAAACCCUGAUCCAGCGACGCCGCGUGAGUGUAGAAGUAUUUCGGUAUGUAGAGCUCUAUCAGCAGAGAAGAUAAUGACGGUACCUGACUAAGAAGCCCCGGCUAACUACGUGCCAGCAGCCGCGGUAAUACGUAGGGGGCAAGCGUUAUCCGGAUUUACUGGGUGUAAAGGGAGCGUAGACGGAAGGCCAAGUCUGAUGUGAAAACCCAGGGCUCAACCCUGGGACUGCAUUGGAAACUGGUCAUCUAGAGUGCAGGAGGGGUAAGCGGAAUUCCUAGUGUAGCGGUGAAAUGCGUAGAUAUUAGGAGGAACACCAGUGGCGAAGGCGGCUUACUGGACUGUAACUGACGUUGAGGCUCGAAAGCGUGGGGAGCAAACAGGAUUAGAUACCCUGGUA
rnacentral:rRNA from 1 species